rnacentral:misc_RNA from 1 species
GUGAGUCAUCGAAUCUUUGAACGCAUAUUGCGCUCUUUGGUAUUCCAGAGAGCAUGCCUGUUUGAGUAUUGGUACAAUGGGUGAACUUCCUUUGAAUUUUCAAAGUAAAAUCAUAUAAAACCCUAUUGAGACGUCUUGGCAAUCUUUUUUGACAAGUGUCUUAAAAUUGAAUUUUCCAUGUUCCAGUGGACGAUGUCUAGUUUAUGGAGUAAUAUGGUAAGGGUUGCCCCUGACCUGAAAAAGUGCUGUCAAAGGCGCUUUUUCUUACUUUUUUACUAGCAAAGUGCUGUCAAAGGCGCU